rnacentral:rRNA from 1 species
GACGAACGCUGGCGGCGUGCUUAACACAUGCAAGUCGAACGGAAAGACCCGGCGUUUGUGGGGUGCUCGAGUGGCGAACGGGUGAGUAACACGUGAGUAACCUGCCCUUAACUUUGGGAUAACUUCAGGAAACUGGGGCUAAUACCGGAGAGGAGCUCUUGCUGCGUGGGGGGGGUUGGAAAGAUCCGGCGGUUGGGGAUGGACUCGCGGCUUAUCAGCUGGUUGGUGAGGUAGUGGCUGACCAAGGCUUUGACGGGUAGCCGGCCUGAGAGGGUGACCGGGCACCAGGCUACUGCGAUAGGGACCAGACGCCUACGGGCGGCAGCAGUCGGGAAUAUUGCGCAACAGGGGGAAGCGUGAUGCAGCAGCGCUGCGUGCGGGAUGACGUCUUAUGAGUGGUAAACCGAUUUCGCCUGAGAUGUACCGUUAGUGACGGUACUGGGUCAAAAAGCAACGGCUAACUACGUG